rnacentral:ncRNA from 2 species
CUGAUCGACGCGGGAGAGUUCUGCGCGAAUCGCCUUGUUUGCAGGGCGUUUGGCAAGGACGCCGAAGGAGCAACCGCCCCGGAAACUCUCAGGCACAAUGGACCGCGUGGAUCGA